rnacentral:rRNA from 1 species
UACGAAGGGGGCUAGCGUUGUUCGGAAUUACCGGGCGUAAAGCGUGCGUAGACGGUCAAGUAAGUCGGGUGUGAAAGCCCCGGGCUCAACCUGGGAAUUGCAUUCGAGACUGCGUGGCUAGGGUGCGGAAGAGGGAAGCGGAAUUUCCGGUGUAGCGGUGAAAUGCGUAGAUAUCGGAAGGAACACCAGUGGCGAAAGCGGCUUCCUGGUCCAGCACCGACGUUCAGGCACGAAAGCGUGGGGAGCAAACAGG